UACGGGGGGAGCAAACGUUGUUCGGAAUCACUGGGCGUAAAGGGCGUGUAGGCGGCUGGAUAAGUGGGAUGUUAAAUCCCCCGGCUCAACCGGGGACCUGCAUCUCAUACUGUUCAGCUCGAGCACAUCAGAGGAGACUGGAAUUCCCGGUGUAGUGGUGAAAUGCGUAGAUAUCGGGAGGAACACCAGUGGCGAAGGCAGCUCGCUGGGACGUGACUGACGCUGAGACGCGAAAGCGUGGGGAGCAAACAGG
rnacentral:rRNA from 1 species